GGAAUAAGAACACUUUCCCUCCCUUGUCCGGUGUUAUCUUGCCAUUACUCCAUCUGCAAGACCACUCUUCCAUAGAAGUAAAUUUGCCUUGCUGUAAAAACUUGUUGCUGGAGUGCUGACUGUUCUUUGUGGCACCGAAAAUUUGUUUUCCACAAAUUUGGGGGCCCACCCAGCAUUCCCAUUUUCCUCUGGGGGAGGGUCCAGUCCUCUCCUGUGAGGAGGCGCACCCCGCUGCCUUGUUGCAGUGGCUAUAAAGACGCAACAGAGAAAUGCAUAAUGUCCAGUCAAUUUAUUAAAGUUCCAAAGUCGGUCGCGUGCGGUGGCUCACGCCUGUAAUCUCAACACUUCGGGAGGCCGAGGCGUGUGGAUCACGAGGUCAGGAGUUGGAGACUAGCCUGACCAACAUGGUGAAACCCCGUCUCUACUAAAAAUACAAAAAUUAGCCAGGCAUGGUUGCACGCGGCUGUAAUCCCCGCUACUCAGGAGGCUGAGGCAGGAGAAUUGCUUGAACCAGGGACGCAGAGGUUGCAGUGAGCAGAGAUGGCGCCACCACACUCCAGCCUGGGAGAAAGAGUGAGACUGCUUCUCAAAAAAAGAAAAAGUUGCAAAGUCAUACCUUUCUGCUCUUGUCAGGCAAUUAAGGGGUUUUUGAAUACUUCAGCCCUAACAAUUUGCUUCCUAACAUACAUAUUGCAGUGCUUAUCUAAUUUUAAAUAUCUUUUUGUUUCAACACCUAAUUUUUUAUUUAGAUCUAUCUGUAUGUUUACAAUAUAUUUUGCUCUGUGUUCAUUCUUUGAUUUCAGAACUUCAAUCUUUCUGAAGCAUGUUUUCAGAGUUUCUUUUUAGUUUCAUUAGUGGAAUUCUGCUGGUGGCGUUUUGUUUUUUGUCUCUAAAUAUGUUAUUUAGCCAUAGGUUGAUGAAUAUUUUUCUUGGUUGAGAAUUUCAGAAUGGCAUUAUUAUUCUUAACAAAUAAUAUUGUUUAUUUUACCUUUCAUGCUUUCAGAUUUCAAUAUGAUUAAAGGUAAUUUGAUUUUUCUAGUGCUCAUUGAAAUAUUUUUCCCUUCCUGAUUGUUUACUAUUUCUCUACGAGAUAUGUAGAUGUAGGUUUAUCUCCAUUGUAGCUUGCUUAGCAUGCAUAGAAUUUUUGAAUACACGGAUUAGUGUCUUACAAAAGUCUAGAGAAAUUUCAGCCAAAAUACCAUCACAUAUUGUCCCUUCCCGGUUCCCUUCUUCUAUGAGAACACUCACUAAACACAUGCUACACUUUCUCACUGUAUCUUCCAUGUCUCUUCAUGAUUCUGUCCACAUUGUGCAUUUUUAAAAAUUUUCUGUAAUGCAUUCUGAAAUAUUUAUGAACUCUCACCAUGGCCAUGUCUAAUCUGAUGAGUUCAUUUUUGAGUUUUUAAUUUAAAAUACUAUAUACAAACUACUUUUCAAAUUUGCAACAUCAAUUUUUUAGUCUCCUAAAAAUAUAUUCAUUUUUUAAAAAAUUUUUUGAAAGCAAAUGUGCUUUAUAAUCUAACAGUGAUAUUUCUACUAAUGAACCUUUGUGGAUCUGUUUGUACUCUUUUUCUAUUUUCCUUUCAAAUGGUGGAAUAUCAUUUCCUUGUGUACUUAGAUGCCUUUGAAUGACAAAGAUUUAUUUUUCUCUGAAAAUUAUUAUUGUGCACUUUUGCAUAUUAGUAAGAAGAAAAUUUGCCAAAGAGAAUUUGAAUUUUUUGUGAGUCUACUAAAGGCACCACCAUUCUGGGACCACAUUAUAUUAAUUCUUGGCCUAAAGGUGUUUGGACGUAUGUUUGGACAGCACAUUUAAACAAUUUUUAAAUUAAUUGCUGUAAAUCAUUAAUGAUUGAGUUUCUUUAAAUCUGUCCAAUCUCAAGUCAUUUUUAUUUGCCAUUUCCAGGGAAUGUGAAAUCGGACUAAUUUACCUCUGAUUCUUCUUUAUACUGAGGAUGUAAAUUUUGGUCCUAGCUUUAGGGAGGAGCUCCUGUGUGAUGCCCUAUCUUGGGAAAAACUAUGUAUUUCUUUACUGUCCUAUGUGAUGUAUGACAGUAGGAAUCUGCACUCAUUCAUUUUGCUACAUGUCCCUAGGGCAAAAUCAGUUUCAGUGUUUAGGUGUAUUUUGUCUGCUCCCUGCAUUCCCAUGGUUUUGACCUUAUAUUUUACUUUUUUUUUUUGUGAACAUAUCACUGCUUCAACUUUUUCCAGUAAUAUAAUCAAUUAUACUAUAAGAAAGAGAAAAAUUUUGAUAAAACACAAAUUUCAUGUUUUCCUACUCUAAAUGGCUUUUACGUAAAAAUACAGGUAAAAUUUAUUUGUGCUUUUUUGCUAUUUCUGUUUUGCUAUUCUCUGUUUGUCUAUGUCUUCGCCACAUAGACACAAUUAGGGAAUUUUGUACACUCUUGUGCCAACUGCUUUGAUAGUAACAAAAUGUAUUUCUCGAACUCCUAGGUAUAAAACUCAAGUAUCCACAAUUUAAAUACUUUUUUGCUCACUUCUAUUAUGUUUCCAGUCUCAAUAGAAAUCGAUGCCAAUCCAGAAAUACAAGCAUUAUUCUAAUACUUCUCACACAUUACUGAUAUAGAUUAAAUUUUCUAGAUCUCCUUAAAUACUAUCAUUUUUCACUUAUUGUAUCUUAACUGUUAAGUUCAACAUUUUCUAUAAUAUUAAUAUAUGUGAAAAUUUCCUUACUUUCUUAUUUGUCCCAGGUUCAAUGUUUUGCAGUCUCUACCUCACCCUGUGAAGCAUAAACAUUGUACAUGCUGUACAAAUAAUACAUCGUUCAUGUACUUAGAGAUUGCACAAUUUUUAUUUGGUUGACAAUAGCUAAUGUUUUCUUCUUCAUUUUCUAUUUCCUGAUUUUUCUUUAUUUAGUAUAUACUACACUAUCAUAAAAAUAAGGACGUUUUACAAACUAAAGCAAUAGCAACCCUAGGAAUAAAAUGCACAAAUAAAAUAUAUAAACAUACAUUUAGAUGUACCACGUAACCUUGUAAUUUAUUUAGACAUUUAAUUUUAGUAAAAUUUUAAUUAAAGUCUGUGUAUUAUGUGUCAUCGUCUUAGUAUUUUUUAUAUAACAAAUUUUGUAAAUCAAAAAGUCUCAAUGUCAUUAUAAACUAUCUUGGCAGAGGAUGAUCUCAAAGGAAUAAUUUCUCUCCCAAAUUACGCCAAUCAGAAUUUCAGUCUACCAUAAUUCUUUUAAUCAGUUUCAGAGGAAUAAUAAAUUUCAAAAUUGUUCAAGGUACUUCUUUUAUUUCAAGUACCUUUUGACUUGUAAAUUCUACAGGUGUAAAACUGUAGACAGACUGAUACAAACAUAUUCUAAUUCACUCAAAAUUAUAUGGACCUAUUUUAAAAUCUAGAUUUUAAAAUGUCGUGUCAACAUACACAUGUUCUCCUUGUGAAAUAAUUGCUUUUUAUUCUCUGGAUAGAAUAAUUUAAUCUUUAAACAAUUCACUGUUAGAAAUGAAAUAUUACAUAAGGAUAUGCUUAUAAAAAUAAUUCCCAACUAGCUUUUCAAUUCAGAAAUAUAUGUGAAAAAUCGUCAAACAUCUAAUGGAUUUCAAGGAGAAAUGGGUUAGUAAUUUAUUCCAUAUGUCUCAAUUUUUCCUAGACUCAAGGCUUCCUUUAAAAUAAUUGUAGGCAUUUAAGAAACCAUGUAAACUAAGAAGAAAUUGUGACACUGCCGCUUAGGCUUUUUAAAUCUUUGGACAUGAUUCAAUAUAUUUUUUAAAUUGUAUCUUAAUUAGACAUGGUGAGUUCACCAUCUUCCUGUCAGUAUAGCAUCCAAGCUGAUUAUGAUAGAUUAGAAGUUCAACUAUCAACUGUGUUCUGAGAGUCUAAAAAAAUAAAUGAACAUAUUUGUUUGGGUAUUCUUAAAGCAGGAGUGAGGACACAGUGAAAGUGAGACAAGGAAAAGAGAACAAAAUAAAACAGGAAAGAUAGAAAAGCCAAUAACACACGUGUUAAGAGUAACAAGCUCCCGUGCUGCUAGAGAAAGUCCUCAGCUAGAAACUGGUGCAAAUUCUGGAGAUGAGACCUUGUAGAGUGUUAAGAAUGGUUUUCUUCCCAGCAGCUACAGGUAAGGAAUAGGGGCUGGGCUAUUAAUACAUCUGCUACAAACCAAUAAAGCCCUUAUGCUCCUUUUGGUGAUCGACAAUGUAUUUAAAAAUAUUAGAUGAUCAAGAAGGGCUGCAGAAAAGAGGAAACAGAAACAAACAGCACACCUCUUGGUUUAUUUUUAUUCAUUUCAUCAGUUUCAAGGAAAAUGUGUUGGGAGUUCCUGGCAUAGACAAUGUCACAAAGACAUAUUUUCAAUAGUAGUGCUAUCCCUAGGGCAGAGAAGACCCAGAGAAAGCCCAAGUGGCUGCUGGAACAAAGUCAGACACCGUGCCACCUGUCCACACUCCUUGGCUCUGCCAUCAUACUGAAGAUCGCUUUAAAGGACUGGCUUCCCUCCCCCCAAAAUUAAACGAGCACAGACU
rnacentral:lncRNA from 10 species